AAAGGAGUAGGUUCAGUAAGACCCCUUUUUGGCCCCAAAAUAUAGCAGUUUUACAAAAUUGUUAAAAUGUAAACCUUUAGUUAUUUAUUGGACAGUAAAAUGCUUCUGCUACAUAAAUAUGGGCUGUUUUUGACAAUACAAUGCACAUAUAUCCGGUACUAGCACCAUUAAGUCAUGCUAAAUUACUGAAAUCCUCAUAAUUCUAGCAUUUUAGUUAAAUUUUAGACGGUUUUCGUGUAAAACGAAAGUGACCGCAUUCGUGUUCAUCCUUAAUAUUGAAAUGUAAG
rnacentral:lncRNA from 1 species